AUGGCGGACCUGGUGUUCUGGAAAAACCUCCCAUAUGAUAUCACGAGGAAGAUCAGUGAAUCCUUCCUCGCAACGGACGAUAUCGACCAUUAUGUCGCCUUCCGGGCUGUCUGCGCCAACUGGCGCCGAACCACAGACUCCACCGCAGAUGCCACAGACCCCAAAUUCAUGCCCAGCAAGUGGAUCAUGCUGGAGCACUCCAUCCACGACAAUGACCGGGUGGCCUUCUUCAACCUUAGCACAGGCCGCCUCCUCCGCAAGAAAAUCCCCACGGAGGUCCGCAGCCGGAGGUACUUUUUCGUCAGCGUCACGAAAGGCGGACUCUUCGUGCUAGGGCAGAGAGCGCAGCCAUACCAAACUCGGGUGCUCAACCCUUUCACGGGCGCCAUGGCACGCUUCAAGGUGCCUAUACCCAUGGAACAGGUGAGCUCUGUCGUCGUGACAACGUCUCCAAUGAUGGUGUUCAUCUCAGACCUGCUAAACAAUUGUGUGAGUUGGGCUGAUCAGACAAGCGAGGAAUGGCACCCCGCUUUGGGUUUUGGAGAAGGGGAGUUCAGGACUGGGGAUUGGGGCUUUGGCAAUCGUCACAAGAACUUGACAUCCUUUGCAGGCGGCAUGUACAUCACAAAUAAGUAUGGAUCCAUCAUAUCAACAAUCGCUGACGUGUACAAGGAAGAGGGGGAGCUUCUUCUGGUGAUGGAUGGGCGCGUUUGUAAUGGCAUGCCGGUGGUCCACAAGGUGGACACCGUGAACAAGGUGCUCGUGCCGGUCAGAAGCAUCGGUAGCCAUGCGCUGUUUGUCAGCUCGCGCAGGUGCCUCUCCAUCGACACCACGAAGUCCAACAAGUUCCACUCCAUCGAAUCUGGCACAAUCUACUACGCGGAUCGCUCCGUGGUUCGAGCUUAUGAUCAAGGGAGUCUCGCUGGCAGUGGAUGGGAAGAGGAGCCCAAGUAUGUAUUUGAAUCUGCAACAAAUCCUUUCUCUAAAAUGGCUGAGCUGUUGGUGAAUUACUGCACUACUAUCGAGUACUCGGAACUGCAGAUGCUGCCGCCUUACGGUGAGGAGGGCUACACUUACUAUGAGUAUGGCGACCCAUCAGACUAA
rnacentral:rRNA from 1 species